CCUACGGGUGGCAGCAGUAGGGAAUAUUGCUCAAUGGGGGAAACCCUGAUGCAGCAACGCCGCGUGGAGGAUGAAGGUUUUCGGUUUGUAAACUUCUUUUAGGAGAGAAGAUAAUGACGGUAUCUCACGAAUAAGCACCGGCUAACUCCGUGCCAGCAGCCGCGGUAAUACGGAGGGGGCAAGCGUUAUUCGGAUUUACUGGGCGUAAAGAGUGCGUAGGCGGGCGCACAAGUCUGAUGUGAAAUCCUGGGGCUUAACCACAGAACUGCAUUUGAAACUAUGCGUCUGGAGUGUGGGAGAGGUAGGUGGAAUUCUUAGUGUAGGGGUAAAAUCCGUAGAUAUCAAGAGGAAUACUCAUUGCGAAGGCGACCUACUGGAACAUUACUGACGUUCAGGCACGAAAGCGUGGGGAGCAAACAGGAUUAGAUACCCUAGUAGUC
rnacentral:rRNA from 1 species